rnacentral:rRNA from 1 species
UGGGGAAUAUUGCACAAUGGGCGCAAGCCUGAUGCAGCCAUGCCGCGUGUGUGAAGAAGGCCUUCGGGUUGUAAAGCACUUUCAGCGGGGAGGAAGGCGUUAAGGUUAAUAACCUUGGCGAUUGACGUUACCCGCAGAAGAAGCACCGGCUAACUCCGUGCCAGCAGCCGAGGUAAUACGGAGGGUGCAAGCGUUAAUCGGAAUUACUGGGCGUAAAGCGCACGCAGGCGGUGUGUCAAGUCGGAUGUGAAAUCCCCGGGCUCAACCUGGGAACUGCAUUCGAAACUGGCAGGCUAGAGUCUUGUAGAGGGGGGUAGAAUUCCAGGUGUAGCGGUGAAAUGCGUAGAGAUCUGGAGGAAUACCGGUGGCGAAGGCGGCCCCCUGGACAAAGACUGACGCUCAGGUGCGAAAGCGUGGGGAGCAAACAGG